GCUUACGGCCAUACCACCUUAGGCACGCCCGAUCUCGUCUGAUCUCGGAAGCUAAGCAGGGUCGGGCCUGGUUAGUAAUUGGAUGGGUGACCGCCUGGGAAUACCAGGUGCUGUAAGCA
rnacentral:rRNA from 1 species